UUUCCGUAGGUGAACCUGCGGAAGGAUCAUUAGAGAGCGGCACUCGUGCCGGACCCUCUCCCACCCUUGUGUAUCCACCUCUGUUGCCUUGGCGGGAGCCCCUGUAGGGGCCCAAAGCGCGGGAGCUUAGGCCCCGCGGCCCGUCAGAGGCCCCAUCAGUAACACCGCCAUCGUGUCUAUCCGAGUCGUGGUUAUUAAAGCAAAACUUUCAACAACGGAUCUCUUGGUUCUGGCAUCGAUGAAGAACGCAGC
rnacentral:misc_RNA from 1 species